rfam:Triticum urartu cultivar G1812 contig1230726, whole genome shotgun sequence.
AUGGUACUCCCUCCGUUCCGAAUUACUUGUCGCAGGUAUGAAUGUAUCUAGAUGUAUUUUAGUUCUAGAUACAUCCAUUUCUGCGACGAGUAAUUUAGAACGGAGGGAGUAGUAC